rnacentral:piRNA from 1 species
UCACCCUUUCAGAUAUCUGAGCAGGCGCCC